GCCCAGACCACCAGAGAGGAAAGAUGUAAGCUGCCCCGCUGGAAAAGGUGCAAGUCCCUCCUUGUCCAGACUUUCAUCCUGGAGGCUAUUGGCUGAUUCACACUCAGAUCUACAAAGUCGAUAUCCAAAUCUUCCUCCCCAGCCCAGAGAUACUGUGCCACAAGUGGACCUGAGCCCGGCAGGCUAGCGGUUCUGGGACCCAUGGGCAGCCUCAGUGAGGAGAGAAAGUGGGUUUCUGUUGCCCACGUUGUCAGCUCUGGACAAGAUGGAAUCAAGCGUCAUCCCAAACUCUGCCAAUCAGACUGUAUUCACAAGCAGGUCCUGUGGGCACUAUGCAACCUGUGCCCCUGUUCAGGAAGUGUCUAUUUGGUCCUUGGGCCCUGACAGCCAAUGAAUGAGGUCUCCUCUGCUGACUUCUCAUGACCAGAAUAGCAGCCCUCUCAUGGGCCAGGUUACAGAAUCUCACAGGCCUGGUCGGAGGCCCUCAAGGAGGAUCCCCAGGCUCAUAGGAAUCCAUUACACAGGAAGAUUAUCUCCUUCUUGCAUGGACUCUGCUUUCCCAUGUUCUGAUACCUCCUUCUCCCCACCCGAGUCUCAGUAUAUCGGCCAGCAGGCCUGGAACUCACAGUCCACCAGCCUCCGACUCCGAGUGCUGUGAUCACAGGCGUGGACCACACUCCAUCUCUCUUCUUUGGAGAUCAGCCCAUGUUCUCUGCCUUCCACUACCUCAGCUCCAGGGACCAUGCUUGAAUCCCAGUGCCCACUGAAAUCAAACACCCCACCACUAAGCUGUCUUAGUAUUCCUAUCUUGCCCCUCUCCUUCACUAAAGACUGGACGUGGCUCACCCUGUUGAGGGCUAGGGCGGUCUGGGGCUUUUCCUGAAGCCAUGAUGCAUGGAGAAGGAAUUUAGCUCCAUGUCUACGUCCAGGAAUAUGCUUGGUAAGGCCUGUAAUGGCCUGGGGUCUGGGGGAGCUGUAGCUCUGGACUCUGAGCACCCAACGCAUCCCACCCUAAGGUCCUAUGGUUACCAGUCCCAAGGCUGCUGUGUGUUUGGUCUCUAUACCCUUGAGGGAUCCUGUGUUUUCUUUGUGCAGCACUGUUUGAUUGGCUUCUUGCUGACUGUGUCCCAUUGAAUAAUAGCUUUUGCUGACACUGUCCCAUUUCUUCCAGGAAAACUGUAAGAUGCUGCAUUUCUUAAUAAAUGUGCUUGCAUGGGCCAUCAACUUAUGCAAGACCUCCUGACCCAGAACUUGCUGGUCUUCUCCGUCUUCCCCUGGCCCUCCCCCCGCUCUCGGGAACCCGUCACUGAGGAAUGACUACUACUGGUCCAGAUCACAGCUCUUUCCUCUCUUCCUCUUCCUCCAGAUCCAUGUGGACCCGUGUGGGUCAUGUACCCCCCCACACCAGAUCUAGAAACAUGUCUCUUCAUACAAUCAUUUCUUUUGCUAUCUUAUCAUACCUGACUCUGCCUGGCUAUAUUUUUAGCACAUUCCCUGAAGCAGAGUCCUUCAGAUAGGAGCCCAUUUUAGAAGGGAAGGGAGAAGACGGAAUGGGCUGAUACAUCCAGACACCAUGCCUAUUGGCAUGCUGUCCAAGGGAUCUCCAAUAGGCAGCCCGCUGCUUCAGGGCUGGAGGAAAAGAGGAAGUCAGUUAUUCUAAAGGUUAAAGUACAGUUAGGAGAAUGGUGUAUUGAAGAGCAUCCCCCAAAGGGCUGUGCAUAUGUCCUGACCUCCAGAGCCCAUGACUGUUGUCUUUAGAAAAGGGGUAAUCAAGAGAUGAGGUUCAGAGAGAUGAAUCAGUGGGUAUUGGCACCUGCCACCAAACCUGAUGACCUGAGUCCCAUCUCCAGGACCGACACAGAGAACUGACUUAUGCUGUUUAUCCUGUGAUGUCCACACAUGCAUGCACACAUGUGUAAUAAAAAUGUCUUUAAAAUAGUGACAGGACCAUUCUGUCAUUCAGAUAGGUCCUAACCACGUGGCAAGGGAAGCAGAGAAAAGGACAAAUAGAAGAAAUGGAGGCUGAGGUGGGAAGACCCAGUGAAGUGUGCACUUGCCACAGCAGCCACAGGAAACCGCAGAAGAGGAGACCUGAAGGAAGAGAUAGCCAGGCGCGCAGCCUUUCCAUCGUGCCCCCCCACCCCCAUAGACACUUUUCUGUAACUCCAGGCUGAGAUGCAGCUUCUCCUCAAUUGCUAACUCCAGGUUUGCCACCUGCUGCUGUAACAAAAUGCCCCAAGCUGUCCUUUACUAGAGAAAAGGUUUGUUCAGUUUCUGGUUCUGGGCCAAGGGUCUCCUGGUUGCUUCUCAGCAUGGAGGAGGAGCAGGAGAGAAGCAUAUAUUGUAGCUUCAUUUUAUGUCAAAUCUCUCAGCACACCUGCUGUCCCAGCACCUGGAUAGCCAACCCAAAAGGAGCAAGAGCUUGCGAGCAGCCUGUGCUAUGAUGUACCUCAACCCUCUGACCAAAACAACGCAGGAAAUGACAGUUACAGUCGCCCCGAUAUUCUGAGGACUAACUCUGUGAGGUCAUCUGUGAUGGAUGGUUAGCUCGUUCUCUCAACUUGACACAAACAAGCAUCACCUGGACAGUCUCUAUGAGGGAUGAUUAGUUCAAGCUGGUCUGUAGGAAUGUCUGUGGAGGGAUGUUUUAAUUAUAUUAGCUGCUGUGAGAAAAUCCAGUGUCCUGUGUCCCGUGGAAGAGUCCAGGUGUCCCAUGGGGGAGCCCAGGCGUCCUGUGUCCCGUGGGGGAGCCCAGGAGUCCUGUGUCACAGAAGGCCCAACUUCCAGGAGAGUCUCGGCAUCAGGGAGCAAGCAUCUGUGCAUUCCAGAAGGGCUGGACACUUAAAAGUUCUCACUCCACUUCUUCCCCUGCACUCCCCUGCCAUCCUGAGGCCUUCCCACGACAGUGAGAAGCAGUUACUAAGUGGUCCCAUGAGCACCUGCCACACUACAGCUCCACUGAGAAAGUCACACAUCACACAGACAUGGUUAAUGACAGGCUGUAUUUGGCGCCAAGGUUUUCAAAGGCACUGCAUUAAAUGUGUUCUUCUCUGUACUAAUGGUUUAUUCUUCAGAGCUUUUUCUGCAAGGCUUCCUAUAUUGUCUUUUUUGCAACAAAGAAGUCCGAAAGUCCUAUCAUGCCAUUCUUCCUAGAGUCUCUGGAAAACAGACGGAGAUGCCAUUAGAAAUGCCAUUUAACAGGGUACCAUGUAGCUGGCAAGGUUAUCUCAAGCGCUGGGCACUUGAGAUGCCUCACCACAGCCUCCUGCCAACUAGCAACAGUUCUGAGCAGAACAGCUCUAUUUACUUGUACAAGAGUGGAUGUCUUUUUCUAGGUAAAACAUCAGUGCUGGGAGCCACUCUUAUGUCAGCAAGUGGGCAAAGGUUGCUCAGAACACACUGCGGUUCUCAUGACAGGCAGUGACCACUGUGACCUUCCCAUGCCUCCCACAGUAACUCUUCGGUGUCCACCCCAGCUCAACUCUCUUGCACAUGGGCCAGAGGGAGCCAGGGCUGCUGAGCCCACAUGACUUGCUGUCCUCCACAGCUAAGAUGGAUCACGGCCAGCAACACUGUCCACAGAGGUAUGGCUAUCAAGGGGUACCAGAUGCUGUCAGAACCAAGCAGACAGCAAACCUAUGGAUAGAAGAUUGUGGGAGAGAGAAAUUCUCCCUAGUUGGCAGACAUGGGAGCUCCUUUUGUAAAGAAGCCGCCUAAUUAACAAGUUGAGGAGGGAGGUGGGGAGGCGGGGAGGCGGGGUAGCCCAGGCAGCCUGACCUCGGCAUGGGUGCUCACCACAUGCUAUGUAGUGGUGCAUUCUUAGCACACAAAGAAUGCCAACUGGGAUAUCCCAAUCAGCUAUGCCUGGCUUAGCCCUGGGCACACAGUCAUUUGGGCAGCCAGGUCCAUCAUUAGACUUCCCUGAACCAGUACGGUUGGGAUUUUCCAGGGUGGGUGCCAAUGAGGACCUAGUGAGAAAGCUGAGCUCUGCCAGUUGGCUUCCCUGCCAGGCCGCCCCUCCUCUACACACCCAGGGAUAGCCCAACAUAGCAGGAAAGAACCCACGAGCUUCCCACAUAGAGCCACAACCCUCCAGACCAAGACGACAGUGCUCCCACAUCCACAGAGCACAGGAGUGGAGCCGUCCCAGGUGCACGCACCUAGGGCCACAUCCCACAGAGAGAAGACAGCAGCCCAAGGCAGCCUUGAGUGGAAAGUUCAAAGCACCCGACUUCCUUCACUAAGGAAGGUGCCAACAGUCUGAAGAUACAGUGUACGGGUGUCGGUUGCCAGCCCCUCAGAUCAACAACUGCAUGAGUGACAGCAGUAACAGUCGGAGGGUGACUUGGCAUCCGCUGGUGGAUAUUAACCUCAUGCGUGGGUUCAUGUGUGGGUGAGGUGAAUUCCAUCAAUGUCAGUUUUCAGUGAGCUGUCGUCUAAGACUGUCUGACGGCACAGGCUGGACCUGAGCUUCUCCUGCGACAGGACACACUUCAUCUAACGUCUAGGAAGAUGGAAUCUUCUGGAUUCCUGCCUGGCACUGAGAGAACAGGCUGAGGGGCUGCGGCUCUGCCCAUGAUCUCUGAGAGGUCGCUCCCCUUCAACACUGUUGGAAUCAAGGGGAGCAUCUUUGCCUUCCUUCCACCAGGGGCGCAUUCUUAGUAAAGAGGUGGACUCUCCAACUCAGCCCACCUGAACCCACAAAGAACUGUACUUACGACUUCUCUCUUAAAGUGGCAAGAUAGGUCUCCGUCUCCGAGGCCGGGAGUUCUGGGUCCAGAGAGGUCAAGUACUGGUAGAUGUAGG